UCAUUUCCGUUUUCAUUUCCAGGACGUCCCUCUGUGGUUCCGCUCUCGCCCCUUCUCUGUCUCCCUUCUUACUCUUUCUGUUUCCUCUACUCCUUAAUAUUAAAAUGCCCCACAGUUCUGUCUUCCGUCCUCUUUUCUCCUCUCUCUGCACCUGCCAUCCCGGCGCUCUCAACCGAUCUCCUAAGUUUAAAAGCUCCGCUAGGCCUUCCGGGGGAGGCCCUGUUGUCUCUGACGUCACCUUCCGCUGCCGUGGUUCCUUCCGGCUGCCGCCAUCAGCAACCCCGCUCCUGCCCCCGCACAGGCAAGCUCCCUGCAAAGCCGCCCUGCUUGCGAUUCUUCCCCUUGGAAUCUUCUUUCCCAGAUUUCCACGUGACUUGUUCCCGGAGCCCCUCCCAGUUGUUAUUUACAUGUAGGGCCUUCCUGGAUCUCUGUCCUUCCAUCAGUCCGUGCCCUUUCCGGCCCUGGGCGCUAUUAUCUCGUCACUGGCUGAUUUUCCUUUGUGCUUACACUGCGCUCUAUGGUGACCUGGUGAAUGACAUCUGAUGUUCAUUGUCUACAAUCACGUGGUGAGGGUGGCCAGUGAGAAGCUCUGUCACCUGGAUAGGGACCUCAGCAGGCAGCUGCCCAGGACACCUAUGCGAACAUGGACGAGGAGGCCGCUAUUGGGAAAGACUUCUUCCAGAAUGAAGAUAAUAAAGAAGAAAAAGAUACAACAUGCUGAUAUCUCUCCUUAGCUCUGUGGCGUUUCUUUGACUAUUCUAACUGGCCUUGAUUUGAACUCAGUGAACUUUCAAACCAGCGACACACAGUACGUUACUGUUUCCAACUAGUUUCUAAGAUGCUUCUGCAUCACGUGUUAUAAAGGGAGCCUUUUCAUUAUGUGCUGUUCGGGUCUCAACAUCAUGACGUCCCAGCCUCUCUGUUUGCUGCACUGUUUUUCCCUCUAGAUUCCUUACCCCCAUCUCCCCCUCCAGGGCCUCCAGAUCUACCUCUGUGGUCCGUUGCCUAUCUGGGUGGCUGGUUAUGACCUCAGUUUGAAUGUGCUUUUUGGCUGUAACUUUGGCAGUUUUUCUAGGUCACCACUCGCUUCUGGUAUCAAUCUACUGUCCCAUCUUUGAACCACUAACUUGAGUCGGGCCAUCUUCAGCUUCUCCUAAAUCCUAUGGGACCAGCAAUCAGGCCCUUUGAAUCAGAGAGAUGGGAUUUCAGAGACCAUAUGCUUCAGCCACUGAAUGCAUUUGGAUCUUUCUGAUCCUGUCUUUAUCUAGAAUUUUCAUAUUUUGUUCAUCAUGGAUUUUUUGCAUGAAUUUUGCUUUAAAAAUACUGUGUUAAAAUAUUAUUUAUCU